CUGCCUACUUUGACAGCACAUAGACUAGAAUCAGAACAAUACAGAGAAGAUUAACAUAGCCCCUGAGCAAGGAUGACAUGCAAAUUCACAAAGUGUUGCAUAUUUUU
rnacentral:snRNA from 1 species